ACGUUAAUACAUUUUUUUAUUGGACUGAUAAGGAUGUUAUUUGCAUAGCGUAGGGUUAAAAGAUAAAUGAAGCAGCAUUACUUUAAGGAAAGUGUAGUCAUAGAUUGAUGGUGUGAUUAAACUCGCUUUGUAAGUGCUGUGCAAGUUAGUAUGGAAGGAGAAUCUGAGGCUCUGAGUCCAGUUUAGUCAGCACUUGAGGGUCCUGGACUGAAGAUUCACUAUACAUUUUUAAGUGUCAGUUUCACAAAUUUGGAAUCGACCAGCCGUGGCAAUCUUGAUAGACAUUAGGCAAUAAGGUCAAGUAUACUUACACUGUUCUUUUGUUGAUUUUCACUUUUUCAAACUGACAAGGGUGACUGUUGGUAAAACAGCACUCUACCAGUAUUUGCAUAUUGGAUUUCCUUCAGACCAAGCUUGAUUUAUCAAGCCAUUAAACAAUUCUAUUUUUAAAAAGAUUCUAUGGGUAAAUAAGAAAUCAUUAACACAAUCACAUAUGAAAAGUGCCAUUUCAGGCAGGAUCAUUUCUCAAGGUGAUUUUGCUUUAAAACUACCCUCCUUCCAUUUCAGCUGUGUAUUUGUGGGUAGUCUGAGAGUUGAGGUAUGUGUGUGCUCCAACUUGUAAUCCCGAGAGCCUGGAACUUUCAGAGUCACAUCUUUAAAUCUAUGCACUUAACCUUUGCUCAUGGGUACUCUUUUCAUUCCCCCCAAAGUUUCUGGUUAUCUCACAAAUGAACUUUACCUUUGACAUAGUGUCCCCAACUUAGUGGCCACAAAAUACACCUUUAGGAUUAGUAUUACAAGAUAUAUGAAGUGCUAAAUAUACAGAUGUAAGUAUUCAGUUUUCCAGAGUACUCAAAGAAUGUAUUGUGUGUGUGUGUGUGUGUGUGUGUGUGUGUUUCUAUUUCCUUAAAGGGACAGGAGUUUUGGUUGAAAAGUUUAGUGUGAGAAAAUAAGGUAUAUUUUAAGCCAAGCCUAUCUGGGUGCCUCAUUGCCUUAUGGAGUUAUUUACCUUUUCUUUAUACUGUUUGGUUUCUUUGAAAAAUUCUUUUUGAAAAGCUACUUGCUUGUGAUGUCACAAGGGCAACUUGCAGCCUGAAGCAAAGUCAAUGUUUAAAAACAUUUCUUUUUAUAUUAUUAAUGAUUUGCCAAGAAAUAGCAAAGAGAGGUGUUUUUCUCUGUGUGCGCCAUAAGAUUGAGGAUUCCCGUAUAACACAUCAACUAAGAAAUCUGAUAACGUGGAAGAAGAUUGUUUAGAAGGGAUUUGUCGGUGAAUUUUAUUCCAACAAACAUCACUUGUUUAAGCUUCUGUAAUUUCAUAGCACAGUGAAAUUUCCAACAAAGGAUUGGUUUAUUUAGGGAUAUGUUUUUCUAUAUGGAUAAUCUCAUUUGCUUCUAAUUAGUAGCUGAUAACAUUUUUAAAAUUUCAUGCUUGGCUUGCAUUUGUUUUGACAAUUGAAGUGUCUAACUCCCCCACCCCCCCUUUUUUUUAAAUGUGUUUCAGCUCUUCACAAUUAAGCCCUUAGAAAAGAUCGCUGAAAGAAUAUAUGGCUUGUGCUUCUUGAUUGUUCAUUAUAUGAAAUUAUAGCCUUAGAUAUAAAAGUUCAGCAUUUUCUUUGCGUCAUAAGCCUUGGGAAGGUCAAAGAGCAAAUGCUUAUAUGUUACAACAGUCUCUGACCUAAUGCAACCUAAAUAACAAAGUCAUGACAAUGGUGCUAGACUGAAGCACUAAUGAAAUAGAAUUCUUUUAAAAAGUAUGUCACAAAAUUACAUAGAAGUCCUCUGCCCUUCGUUUCCCCAUUAAUAAAUCCCCCAUUUGCUUUCAUGUAAUCAAAUUUGUAUUUUCUUCUCUUAACAUUUUAUUCAUCAAAUAUUUUUAAGACUUAGACAUUGAAGUAACUUAAGUAUUAUAUCCACAUAUACUGCCAUAUUCCUAAAACAAUGUGUUGUGUCGGGGGGGUGGGAAAUGGCUAAAAUCAUGCCUGUAAUGUCCUGCCUUCUCCCUCUCCAGGGAAUCCAUUCAGUACCUUUCUGUUCAUUAUUUUCUAUUUGAUGCUCUGAUAUAUCUAAUUGGAUCAUAUCAAUACUUGCCCGUUUGUCUAUAGCUUUUUAAAAAUUACAUAAAAAUAGAGCAACACUGAACUUUGUAUUUACUUUUCAACCUUUACUGUCCCUCAAAUCAAAUCCCUUUGUGUCAGAUAAGGAAAUUAAUGAAAGAACUGACAAUUUGGAAAGCUAAGACCGCUGAUUUUGUCUGUAAGCCAGCAGCUCAGGUGUGCCAUCAGACCAGUAAUAUUGAGACAACUUAGAUGAUCCUUACUCCCCACCUGAAGCAAGCAGGCCCUGCUUUCCUUUGCAAACGACUGCUCUUAGGUGGCAGGCUCUUCCUCGGCUCCUUCAGCAUAUAUGACAAAAUACGAAAGCAAAAGCGGCCAUCUGAGGCUAGGCUUUCUCCAAAUUCUUUGGAUUUUCACUGACCAGAAACCCCGUUUAACUUUGAUACUCAGAUAACAAUAUCAGGAGCAUUGUGACCUUCACCACAUUGCUAUUUACUGGGUUUAAGCUCUGUAAUUCUUGUCAGUUUCAUGAAAUUGAUUGGAUUUAUAAAUUCUUAAUUGUCUUUUUUUUUUUUAACAGCCUUCAGGCUCUAUUUCUUAAUGUAGCACUAGCUAACUAAGUUGAGAUUGUGAAUUCCAUUUAGAAAACAGCACUUCUCAGUAUUGUUUUGGGAUUAGGAGAUAUUGUACUUUCCAAUAUAUAAAAUGAUCAUCUGUAAUCAUUGGGUCACAAGUAAUAAGAGCCUUCUCUUUUAAGCUUCAGUAAAUCAACUCCUUUUAUUAACAAAAAAUUUUGUAUUAGUACUGAUUUUAUAAAUAAUUGAAAACUCGCUCUUGUUAAAUCUUAUUUAAUCCUGCUAGUUUAUAGUGUAUAGAAAGGUAAUGCUAAAGAUUGUAAAAUCUCGACCGACUUCCUCCCUUCUUUGCUCCCUCCCUCUCUUCCUUUUCUUCUCCUUUUCCUCCUUCUCCUUCUUUUGCUGCAGUGAAAAGAAUAUAAAUUUGAUGCAAGAAGAACAGAAUUUAUACAUUCGUCUUGUCACUUACUACCUGUGGAAUCUUGGGGGAAGUUACGUAACAUUUCAGUGUCUCAGUUUCACGAUCUGCAAAGUGGAGAAAAUAGCCAUAGAUGUAAUGAAGUCCCGAUUAGAUAAGAAGAAUUUGUCUUAUUUUUCAUUUAAAAUAAAUCCUGGUUAUAAGAGUUAUGUAAGAAACAUGUUAUAUUCAUUAAUACUAGUUUCUGUGAUAGGAUUCUGCUAUUUUUAGCUAUCUGCUAUAAAUUAUUGCUAACUGACCUAAAAAUUAGGUGUGUUGGACAUGGAUGUUUUGUGUCUGUUAUUCAAUUUGCACUCUCUUGUGCAAUGCUGUGAUUACUACAGAUGCUGGAACUACAGUUUCUUUUCAAUAAUUCUUUUCAGCAUGUUUAUUGAAAUCUGUAUACAUCAGUAUGUCAUGGGACAGAAAGCAUUUAAAGCAAAAACUAGCAAUGAUUUUACCUAAAAUAUGCAAAGAGAGCAUUUUACUUGAAAAUAAAAAAUAUAUUAAUGGAGUCUUAAUGAUAUUUGACGUGGAGCUGUAGUCUGGGGGAAGAAAUGUUUAGAAAAGCGUUUAAUUACAACACUGAACCAAAAGAAUUGCCUUUUUUUUUUUUUUCUUCAAUGGUAGUGCAUCUUAGAAAGCUCCUUAGCUCUUUGCCCAGUGCAGCUGUCCUUCCCUGAAAGAUCAGGUUUCAAGAGCAAUGAUGGAUGGUGGGUGCCUGUAGCCAGUUGUGGGGUUUGUUCUGAGGUCAAAUGUAUUGAUGGAGGAUAGGAAUUUACUGCCUUCUGUCUCUCCCUAAGAUCUGCCAGUACAGUUUCACAGAGAAAAAAUUAGACUAGACACAUCAAGUGCCAAUCCGGUGUCCCAUUAUAGGUCAAAGAGACAUUUGUUUUCAGUGGUUAAAAUAAUUUUUUCUUCCAUUCCCCCUUCCUCAUGUUCUGUCCCAACUGAAGGGACUUACUGAGAGUGUGCACUAAUGCUUUCUUACUGCACAAGUAGGUGCUGGCCUCUGUAAAAAACAAUUCAAACUACUUGUAGUAGUAACUUAACUGAAAUAUUAUUAAAGAAUUUUAAGUGAGAAAAAAAA
rnacentral:lncRNA from 1 species